AAAUUGAAGAGUUUGAUCAUGGCUCAGAUUGAACGCUGGCGGCAGGCCUAACACAUGCAAGUCGAGCGGAAACGAGUUAUCUGAACCUUCGGGGAACGUUAACGGCGUCGAGCGGCGGACGGGUGAGUAAUGCCUAGGAAAUUGCCCUGAUGUGGGGGAUAACCAUUGGAAACGAUGGCUAAUACCGCAUGAUGCCUACGGGCCAAAGAGGGGGACCUUCGGGCCUCUCGCGUCAGGAUAUGCCUAGGUGGGAUUAGCUAGUUGGUGAGGUAAGGGCUCACCAAGGCGACGAUCCCUAGCUGGUCUGAGAGGAUGAUCAGCCACACUGGAACUGAGACACGGUCCAGACUCCUACGGGAGGCAGCAGUGGGGAAUAUUGCACAAUGGGCGCAAGCCUGAUGCAGCCAUGCCGCGUGUGUGAAGAAGGCCUUCGGGUUGUAAAGCACUUUCAGUCGUGAGGAAGGUAGUGUAGUUAAUAGCUGCAUUAUUUGACGUUAGCGACAGAAGAAGCACCGGCUAACUCCGUGCCAGCAGCCGCGGUAAUACGGAGGGUGCGAGCGUUAAUCGGAAUUACUGGGCGUAAAGCGCAUGCAGGUGGUUUGUUAAGUCAGAUGUGAAAGCCCGGGGCUCAACCUCGGAAUAGCAUUUGAAACUGGCAGACUAGAGUACUGUAGAGGGGGUAGAAUUUCAGGUGUAGCGGUGAAAUGCGUAGAGAUCUGAAGGAAUACCGGUGGCGAAGGCGGCCCCCUGGACAGAUACUGACACUCAGAUGCGAAAGCGUGGGGAGCAAACAGGAUUAGAUACCCUGGUAGUCCACGCCGUAAACGAUGUCUACUUGGAGGUUGUGGCCUUGAGCCGUGGCUUUCGGAGCUAACGCGUUAAGUAGACCGCCUGGGGAGUACGGUCGCAAGAUUAAAACUCAAAUGAAUUGACGGGGGCCCGCACAAGCGGUGGAGCAUGUGGUUUAAUUCGAUGCAACGCGAAGAACCUUACCUACUCUUGACAUCCAGAGAACUUUCCAGAGAUGGAUUGGUGCCUUCGGGAACUCUGAGACAGGUGCUGCAUGGCUGUCGUCAGCUCGUGUUGUGAAAUGUUGGGUUAAGUCCCGCAACGAGCGCAACCCUUAUCCUUGUUUGCCAGCGAGUAAUGUCGGGAACUCCAGGGAGACUGCCGGUGAUAAACCGGAGGAAGGUGGGGACGACGUCAAGUCAUCAUGGCCCUUACGAGUAGGGCUACACACGUGCUACAAUGGCGCAUACAGAGGGCGGCCAACUUGCGAAAGUGAGCGAAUCCCAAAAAGUGCGUCGUAGUCCGGAUUGGAGUCUGCAACUCGACUCCAUGAAGUCGGAAUCGCUAGUAAUCGUGGAUCAGAAUGCCACGGUGAAUACGUUCCCGGGCCUUGUACACACCGCCCGUCACACCAUGGGAGUGGGCUGCAAAAGAAGUAGGUAGUUUAACCUUCGGGGGGACGCUUACCACUUUGUGGUUCAUGACUGGGGUGAAGUCGUAACAAGGUAGCGCUAGGGGAACCUGGCGCUGGAUCACCUCCUUA
rnacentral:rRNA from 1 species